ensembl:misc_RNA Metazoa_SRP Metazoan signal recognition particle RNA
GAUGUGCAUGGGGGUGUGUGCCUAUAGUCCCAGCUACUCCAGAGGCUGAGGCUGGUGGAUAGCUUGUGUCCAGGAGUUGUGGGCUGUUGUGUGCUAUGCUCAUCAGGUGUCUGCACUAAGUUUGUCAUCAAUAUGGUGACCUCCCAGGAGCAUAGGACCACCAGGUUACCUAAGGAGGGGUGAAACGGCCCAGGUUGGAAACAGAGCAGGUCAAAACUCCCAUAGUGGGAGUAGUAAUCUGCAGUGGGAUUGCACAAGUGAAUAGCCACCUCACUCCAGCCUGGGCAACACAGUGAGACCCCGUCUCU